GUAUUCUGCUUCAAUGGAGGAUAAGGCUAUAAGUUUUUGUAGUUGAGACUUCCAACAUAUACAAUUUGUAUAGAGUAAAAACAUAAGAAUAAGUGGAUCUUCUUUUAUCUAGAUCACCUGCAAAAUCAAAAUCAAUAUAGUCUUUCAAAAUCACACAUUCAUUGCAUCUUUGAAAUUUUAGGCCUAAAUCAAGUUAACCCUUUAAGUAUCUAUACAUCCAUUUUACUGUGAAUCAGUGAGUUUCACCUGGAUUAGCCAUAAAUCUACUCAAAAUGCUCAUAUCAUGAGCUAAAUCUGGUCUAGUACAUAUCAUAAGAUAUAUAAUUGAGCCAACAACAUAUGCAUAAGGUAUUUUUCUCAUCCUAUCAAAUUCUUCAUCAGUUUUAAGGGAUUGUUCACUUGACAAUUUAAAAUAAUUUGCAAUAGGUAAAGAUAUAGGUUUACAUAUGAAUUAAAUUUUUUAUACCAUCGCAUUAGUGCUUGUUUCAAACCAUAAAGUGACUUCUUUAAAAGACAAACUUUUUCAAUUUUAAAAUUCAGCUCAAAACCCUUUGGUUGAUUCAUAUAAAUUGUUUCGUUACGGUCACCGUUUAAGAAUGCCGUUCUGACAUCAAGUUGAUCCAAUUCCCAGUUGAAGUGAGUAGAAAGAGCAAGUAAAAUUCUGAUAGAAGUGUAUUUAGCAACAAGUGAGAAGAAUUUCAUUAUAAUUUAUUCCUUCUUUUUUAUUAAAACCCUUAACCACUAAUCUAACCUUAUAUCUUUUACCUUCAACAAUGGAUUCACCCUCUUUCACUUUGUAGACCCACUUACAAUAAACAAUAUUUUGAUCCUUUGGUUUAUUAACCAAAAUCCAUGUCUUAUUUCUGAUUAGGGAGUCCAUUUUUUCUUUCAUGGAUUUCAUCCAAAUUUAGAUUCUUUACAAUUAAUAGCUUCUUCAAAGGCUGUUCUUUCAAAAGUAACAAAUUCUAUUUCAAAAUAGAAGGUAACAAAUUCAUCAAUAUCAAUUCUGGUGGUAGGAAACUUAUUUCUUCUACCUCUAUCUCUUAUUAACUAAUGAUCUGGAAAGAUAGUAGUCUGAAUUUCAUUUUCAAAUUCAUCUUGAGUUUGAUCUAUUUCAGAUUGAGUAGUCUCCACUUCAAUCAAAUCAUAUAGUUCAAUGGAAUUUUCUUCAUCUCUCCCCAGAACAAUUUCUUUUGUAGUGACGGAUCAUGUUGUUUUCGGUUUUCAGGAUCAUUACAAGAAAGAACAUCUUCAUUGAAAAUAACAUUUCUAUUUAUGAUCACUUUAAACUCGUUAUUCCCUCACCCAAAGCCUAUCCCUUAGACUCUUACCAUAUCCUAAGAAAAUAGGUUCAAGUUUUCCUUCAUUUUGUUGAGAAUAGUCAGUACAUCCAAAGAUUUUAAGUUUAUAAUAAUUUGGGAACUUUCUAUACCAUAGCGAUCCAAGGGUUUGAGAAUCAAUAGCACUAGAAGGUAUUCUAUUUAUCAUAUACAUGGCAGUCUUUAAGGCUUCACCCCAAAAUAAUUUUGGAAGACUAGAACUUAAUAAUAUAUACGUAACCUUUUCAAGUAAGUUUUUAUUCAUUCUCUUAGCAACACCAUUUUGCUGAAGAGGGUAUGUUAUUGUUCUAUGCCCUAAAAUACCAAGUUCUUUACGAAAUAAAUCAAAUUCAGUGCUACAAAAUUCAAGCCCAUUAUCUAUUAUGAGUCCUUUGCUUUUCUUAUUAGUUUCGUUUUCAAUCAUCAAUUUUCGUUGUUUGAAAUUUUGGAAGGUGUCAGAUUUAUUUCUUAAAAGAAAUGUCCAUUUUUUCUUGAGAAAUCAUAUACAAUCAGGAGAUAGAAUCUAAAUCCACUCAAAGUACUUACUGAUGCUAGGCCCCAAAGGUGAGCAUGUAAAUAAUUAAGUAUUGAAGUAGAUUUAUGAAUUCCAAUUUUAAACGGUAACUUGUUUUGCUUUCCAAUGACACAAUCUUCACAAAAUUUCAAACUCUUAAUAUUAUCCUUUCCAAAACAUCCAAGUUUGUUAAGAAUGAUCAUUCCCUUUUCACUAACAUGCCCUAGUCUCUUAUGCCAGAUUAAGGAUUUAUCAUCAGAAGACCGAGCAGAAACUAACAAGGUUUCAACUAAUGGUUCAGCUUGAAGUAUGCAAACUACAUUAACCUUGGGUGAAGAAAUUAUUUCCUUAGAGUUAUAGAACAAUUUCGUAAAUCCUUUAUGGAUUUUAAUUUUCAUAUUCAUAAUCCAAUUCACAUAAGGAAAUCAGAUUUCUCUAAAGAUCAGGAACAUAUCUUGUUAGAGAAAGCUCAAGAACAUGACUAUUUUCUAACACAAGGUUAAUCUUACCAAUGCCUUUUAUCUUAUAAGUCAUAUCAUUUCCCAUUUGAACUUGGCCACCAUUUUGAUCAUUGAAUUCAAUGAACCAUCCUUUAAUGGGAUACAUAUGAAAGGAACAACCAGAAUCAAGAACCAACUCCUUUGGGCUUCUUUUUGUUGAAGUGACAAUGACAACUCCUUGUGCUUCAAUUGUAGACUAUUGCUACAGACUCAUCAGUAUUUGAUUUUCCUUUCAUAUCAAAUAUCAUUUUGAAACAAUCUUUUAUAAGAUGUCUAGUUUUAGCUCAAUAAUAACAUUUUCUGACUUGAUUCUUGGAUUUCAAUUAACUCUUAUUUUGAUUUCUAAAUUUGGGAGUUUGGAAAUUUCCCUUUUUAGGGAAUUAAGUUGCACAGAUUUCUCUUUUUAAUCUGAUUCAAUUUCUCUUUAAUGUUUAGCCCUCCUCCAAAUUUAGAAUCCUUGACUUCAGUUUUUAGUUCAAGAUAAUAACAUCAACAGUCAAAUCCUCUCUUCCAUAUUCUAAAACAUUAUUAAUUCCCUAUAUUUAUCACCUAGAGCAUUCAAUAGAGCAAGAGCUUGUUGAUCGUCAGAUAGCUCCUCAUCACAAUUAGCUAUAUUUUAAUCAAUUUAGUGAAUUUAUCAACGUUUUCUUCUGAGGUGGAAGGGAUAUUAAAUAUGAAAUUAUAGAAUUGUCUAAGGAAAUAACAUUUAUUAGGCAUUGUCUUGGUUAAAUAAAGGGAUCCUAACUUAGUCCACAAGACUACAAUAGUUGUGGUUUUCCCUAUCUUUCUUAUCAAACUAUCUAACAAAUGUAGGCAGAUUGUACUUCAAACAAUCUCAUCUAAUUCUUGUCUCCAAUAAGCACUAAUUUCAGUACCCCAUGUUCCAUCAAGGGCAGUAGCAUACCUCUGUUGUAACAACAGAUCUCUCAUCUUUUGAGACCAGAGAUUAAAAUAUUCAGUCCCCUUCCAAACUUCUACUUCAAAUUUGUGAGCAGCUGUCAUAACAAUAGAUAAAUCCACAAAGUCAAGAUUAUAAAAUACAUAGUAUAUAGCAGAUUUAAGCAGUAUGAGGAGAUUAUAAAGUAUGCAAAUUUCAAAAUAAGGUAGAAUAUUGCAGAAAAAUUCUUCUUAUCAUGCAAUUUACAUAGUUUAUGAGGCAAAUUAUUAAAUCCAAACAAUUCGAAAUUAUAUAACAAUGUAAUGAUCAACGCAUACAAAUAUUAAGAAUUAAAUUGUCAAUUUAACAAGUUUAAGGGGUGAUAACCCAUAUAUCUACUACUCCAUCAGAUUCCCAUAUUCUCACAGGAACUCUUGGACAAAGGAAAGCAGUGGUAGAUCAAUUACCUUAAUAACCAAAUCAAACUUAGACAAGAACAAUCUAAUUUGUCUAACCAAAAAGAUAAAAGUAUGGACGAUUAUACCAGAGUUGAAACCUUUGAGGUUCAAUAAGAGAUCGUAGUGAGAAAAUAUUAGAACUAGUUCAGAAGUCCAAGGAUAUGGUCAAUGCUCCACACGUCAUAGCGACUCAGUACAACUUAGCAAUUAGUCAAGAAUAGUAGCAAAACUCCGAAUGAGUUAACCCAUCUCACCAACAGUUAGGACGAGCUGAAAAUACCACACCUAAUCAGUGGUGAGUCAAGAGUCAAAUAGCCAAACGAUUCAGUAAACACUAAAAGUUUU
rnacentral:lncRNA from 1 species